rnacentral:rRNA from 1 species
CAGUCGCCGCGGUAAUACGGAGGAUCCAAGCGUUAUCCGGAAUCAUUGGGUUUAAAGGGUCCGUAGGCGGUCUUGUAAGUCAGUGGUGAAAGCCCAUCGCUCAACGGUGGAACGGCCAUUGAUACUGCAGGACUUGAAUUAUUGGGAAGUAACUAGAAUAUGUAGUGUAGCGGUGAAAUGCUUAGAGAUUACAUGGAAUACCAAUUGCGAAGGCAGGUUACUACCAAUUGAUUGACACUGAUGGACGAAAGCGUGGGUAGCGAACAGGAUUAGAUACCCCGGUAGUCCCUGUCUCUUAUAC